GCCCCUGUGGCGGAAUUGGUAGACGCGGCAGACUCAAAAUCUGUUGCCCGCAAGGGUGUGCUGGUUCGAGUCCGGCCAGGGGCACCA
rnacentral:tRNA from 1 species